rnacentral:ncRNA from 1 species
CUGGUUGAUUCUGCCAGUAGUCAUAUGCUUGUCUCAAAGAUUAAGCCAUGCAUGUCUAAGUAUAAGCAAUUAUACCGCGAAACUGCGAAUGGCUCAUUAUAUAAGUUAUCGUUUAUUUGAUAGCACAUUACUACAUGGAUAACUGUGGUAAUUCUAGAGCUAAUACAUGCUAAAAAUCCCGACUUCGGAAGGGAUGUAUUUAUUAGAUUAAAAGCCAACGCCCUUCGGGGCUUCGUGGUGAUUCAUGAUAACUUUUCGAAUCGCAUGGCCUUGCGCCGGCGAUGGUUCAUUCAAAUUUCUUCCCUAUCAACUUUCGAUGCGAAGGUCUUGUCUUCGCAUGGUUGCAACGGGUAACGGAGGGUUAGGGCUCGACCCCGGAGAAGGAGCCUGAGAAACGGCUACUACAUCCAAGGAAGGCAGCAGGCGCGCAAAUUACCCAAUCCCGACACGGGGAGGUAGUGACAAUAAAUACUGAUACAGGGCUCUUUUGGGUCUUGUAAUCGGAAUGAGUACAAUUUAAAUCCCUUAACGAGGAACAAUUGGAGGGCAAGUCUGGUGCCAGCAGCCGCGGUAAUUCCAGCUCCAAUAGCGUAUAUU